CACAGAAAGGAAUUGGCAGUAACACCAGAAGAGCCAGGCACCAGCUACUGGUCGACAGAGCAAUCGCCCAAGACUGCAAGAGCGGGAAGACCAACCUGUGCACUGCCUGGAUUGACUACAAGAAAGCCUACGACUUAAUGCCACACACAUGGAUACUGGAAUGUCUGGAACUAUACAAGAUCAACAGAUCACUAACUGCCUUCUUAAAGAACUCCAUGGGAAUGUGGAAGAUGACCCUAGAGGCCAAUUCAAGGCUGUUUGCCCAAGUCAACAUCAAAUGCGGCAUAUACCAAGGGGAUGCACUGUCACAACUGCUGUUCUGCAUAGGCACGAAUCCCCUCAGUCAGAUCAACACGAGUGGCUAUGUGUGAGGGCUGACAUGUAGGGUGUCUGUAGGUAGGGUCAGAGAGUUUCCUGCCUUUAUAAGGACAGGUGUGGGCAAUUAGUACCUCUUUGUCUGAAUCUGGUAGAUGUGUAGUAGGAUUGCCUGGUUUGGGUAGGUAAGGGAGAUCCUGGGAGAAACAUUGUUUGUAUUGUUUGAGUUGAAAUCUAAUAUUUAUUCUCAUAUUUAGGUGUAGUAGAGCUGUGUCCUGACUGAUCUUGGCUGAUGUAUGCUCUGUAACCCCAUGUUGAAGAGGUGACCAUAUAUAACUGCAAUUGUUUGGUUGUCUGUAGGCCUAUCAUUAAUAAUAUAAUAAUUUAAUCCUUUAGGGAAUUCAGCCCUUGUCUCCUCCUUGUAGAAGCCAGAGUAGUCAGCCUGCUGAUGUUCCCAGUGUCUCUUUUAAUCAGGGCCUCAGAGUGAGCAAGGUAACCUAAACUGGUGGGGUAAUGUAGGAGGGUCAGUCCCUCCAAAUUAUUUUUGCCAGUUGAAACGAUUUAGACCAUGUCUCCCUUAUUGCAGACUAAGUGCCAGACUGCUGCUUUGCCUGAACCAGUCCAUCUACAUCGUCUAGCCUAACUCGGCUACCAUAUUGAAUUGGAUUCAACCUUAGCUUUACUGUGAACUGUCCAGGAUUUGUGUCCAGGCAGAAUCUCCCCGUGGUCUCCAGCAAUAAAUAUCUUAUUAUUAAAUAAACAUUUUAAUGGUGAACUGAAUGCACGUGUCCUGCUCUCCUUGAACCUAUGAAGUUGUAUUGUGUCAACACGUAUGAAGUUGGGCCCUUUAAUGACCCUUAGGUUUAUAUAGACAUUGCAUUGGUCUUAAAUACUGUGUCUGACCACAUAUGGAUACCAAUUCCGAAGUGGAGUAACAAUCAGCCACCUGCUCUACAUGGAUGACAUCAAGCUGU